ACUUUUUCUGCACGCGACGCGACGGCAGAGGUGGCGGCACCGAAAAAUCGGCCAGACAAGGAAGGAAGCACGUUAUUAUUAUAGCGCACCACACACAGCUGGAAAUCACUAAACACCGAACAA